AUUGAACGCUGGCGGCAUGCUUUACACAUGCAAGUCGAACGGUAACAGGGUGCUUGCACCGCUGACGAGUGGCGAACGGGUGAGUAAUGCGUCGGAACGUGCCGAGUAGUGGGGGAUAACGCAGCGAAAGUUGUGCUAAUACCGCAUACGUACUGAGGUAGAAAGUGGGGGACCUUCGGGCCUCACGCUAUUCGAGCGGCCGACGUCUGAUUAGCUAGUAGGUGAGGUAAAGGCUCACCUAGGCGACGAUCAGUAGCGGGUCUGAGAGGAUGAUCCGCCACACGGGGACUGAGACACGGCCCAGACUCCUACGGGAGGCAGCAGUGGGGAAUUUUGGACAGUGGGCGAAAGCCUGAUUCAGCCAUGCCGCGUGUCUGAAGAAGGCCUUCGGGUUGUAAAGGACUUUUGUCAGGGAGGAAAUCCCUAGUGCUAAUAACACUGGGGGAUGACAGUACCUGAAGAAUAAGCACCGGCUAACUACGUGCCAGCCGCCGCCGUAA
rnacentral:rRNA from 1 species